UACGUAGGGGGCAAGCGUUGUCCGGAAUCAUUGGGCGUAAAGAGCGUGUAGGCGGCCCGAUAAGUCCGCUGUGAAAGUCCAGGGCUCAACCCUGGGAUGCCGGUGGAUACUGUCGGGCUCGAGUUCGGAAGAGGGUCGUGGAAUUCCCAGUGUAGAGGUGAAAUUCGUAGAUAUUGGGAAGAACACCGGUGGGCGAAGGCGGCGACCUGGUCCGGAUACUGACGCUGAGGCGCGAAAGCUAGGGGAGCAAACAGG
rnacentral:rRNA from 1 species